rnacentral:tRNA from 1 species
GCCCGGGUGGCGAAAUCGGUAGACGCAAGGGACUUAAAAUCCCUCGGGGGAAACCCCGUGCCGGUUCGAGUCCGGCUCCGGGCACCA